rnacentral:misc_RNA from 1 species
UCCCGGUUGGCCCGGGCAGUCUCGCAUGAAAAAUACAACAUACGACAAGGGUUGCGCUCGUUGCGGGACUUAACCCAACAUCUCACGACACGAGCUGACGACGGCCAUGCAGCACCUGUCACUAGGCUCCCGAAGGCACCCCCGUAUUUCUACAGGGUUCCUAGGAUGUCAAGCCUCGGUAAGGUUCUUCGCGUAGCGUCAAAUUAAACCACAUCAUCCUCCGCUUGUGCGGGUCCCCGUCAAUUCCUUUGAGUUUUAGCCUUGCGGCCGUACUUCCCAGGCGGCAUACUUAACGCGUUAGCUUCGCCGCACAGGGGGUCGAUACCCCAUACGGCUAGUAUGCAUCGUUUACGGCGUGGACUAC